rnacentral:rRNA from 2 species
CCGCCCCCCCUCCCCGGGGGGUGGCUAGUGCCCGCCAGAGGACCAUCAAACUCCAGUCAGUGAACGUCGCAGUCUGAAAAAACAUUCAAUAAACUAAAACUUUCAACAACGGAUCUCUUGGUUCUGGCAUCGAUGAAGAACGCAGCGAAAUGCGAUAAGUAAUGUGAAUUGCAGAAUUCAGUGAAUCAUCGAAUCUUUGAACGCACAUUGCGCCCCUUGGUAUUCCGAGGGGCAUGCCUGUUCGAGCGUCAUUACAACCCUCAAGCUCUGCUUGGUAUUGGGCACCGCCCUUCUUCGGGCGCGCCUCAAAGACCUCGGCGGUGGCUGUCUUGCCUCAAGCGUAGUAGAAUACACCUCGCUUCGGAGCGCAGGGCGUCGCCCGCCGGACGAACCUUCUGAACUUUUCUCAAGGUUGACCUCGGAUCAGGUAGGGAUACCCGCUGAACUUAAGCAUAUCAAUA